ACUACUAAAUUACUAAUACGAGCCACAACAGUUACCUGCUAAAUAACUAACCAAAAACCAUUCAAUUUACAUUUAUGUAUCUUGACUCUGGCAAAACUGCCGGAAAAUUUGGGGGUAGUACCGUACCUGGUACCUUUUAGCCUUCGGGCCCUUAUCCUUUGUAUUUUUGCUUUCAGAGUCAACGGUUAAGUUUGCAAAUACUUUACAGUAGUAUUGCUGAGGAAUGACGGAACAGGAAUUAACCGAUCCUCGAUUGAGACAGAUAGCGUCCUGUUUUACAAUCCACGACGACUUUCCCAUCAAAGGCGUACGAUUCAGGAACAUUUUGCCACUUUUCCGGAAUCCGGAAAUUUUCCAGCUACUUGUUGACGUGUGCGUUGAACGAAUCAAAGAAAAGUUCGGUGGGCCUAUCGACCUGAUUGUCGGUCUGGAAUCACGAGGAUUUUUGUUUGGUCCAUCGGUUGCAUUAAAACUCCGUUGUGGAUUCGCCCCAAUCAGGAAGCCAGGAAAACUGCCGGGAAAUGUGGCGCGUGUUGAAUUCGCCAAAGAAUAUGGCAAAGAUGUUUUUGAAAUGGAAGCCGGUGCUAUCAAACCUGGUCAGGGUGUGGUUGUGGUGGAUGAUGUUUUGGCCACCGGUGGAUCCAUGGCUGCUGCGUCAGAGCUGGUUCGCCAUGAAGGCGGAAAGCUAUUGGGAUGUUUUAUUGUUGUUGAUUUGUCGUAUUUGCAUGGUCGUCAGAAACUGCCACCAAGUAUUCCCUGUGAAGCUUUGUUCUCAUAUUCCAGUUGAUUCCCCUUCCCUUUGAAGUAAUUGCGCAUCUUAAACGAAAUUUGGAACAGUUACAUUUUCAGUUCCCCCGCUUUCCCCCUUCAUCAAACCGUACAUUGUUAUCUUCGGACGGUCACAAUUGCAGACUUUUGAACAUUACUGUUGAUGGAUAAAUUAUUGAAGUGCCUUAUUAUUUAUUUGAUUAGUUUGAAUUUAUUAAUUGAUCAUCUGGCUGAUCGAUGAUUGUGCUCACCCGAUGUACCAUGUCAACACUUGCUGAUGCGAGCUGUACACUACUAUUAUGUUGUUACCGAUACUUCUGUGCUUAUUGUCAAUCUUCCUUUUUUCCCUUGUUUUGAUGGUUUGAUAAUCUGCUGUGCCGACUCUUCGUUUCCGGCACACCGUUGAGAUAUUCCUGCCCGUUGAAAUGAUUUUAACUUUAUCAAAAAAGCAGAAGCUACCCUAGUUAUUCUAGUUAAAAAUUACAGA